rnacentral:lncRNA from 1 species
AUAUAUAGUAAGGCUACUACGCUUUUAGAAGCAUAGAGCCUUCCGUACUUUCAGGUCGUUUUUUAUAUUACGACUUUCAAAUCGUCGAUCAGCUCUGUUAAACUUGAUUUAGAGUAUUUGAAGUAUCUAGAAAAUAAAUUAUGCAAUUUUUUGAUAUUAUUUGCCUAGUGAACGAAGAGGCUCAAAAUCAACGGUUGAAAAUAAAAAUCUUACAAAACGAGAUAAUAUUACAUUAAAAUUUUAGAUCAAAGGUAUUGAUCUUAUUUUAUAUAGUAUAAAAAAUUUUCUAUCAAAAUUUCACGUGAUUUGGAUAUUUCUACACCGUUAAACUUCCAAACGGCUCACUACGGCCAUUAAAAUUAUGAAUUUUGAGCCCCUUCGAUCACUAGGCAAAUGAUAUCGAAAAAUCAUAAAAUUUAUUUUUUAGGUAUUUCAAAUAUUCUAUAUCAAGUUAACGGAGCUGAUUGACAAUUCGAAAGUCGCAACAUCGAAAACGACCUGAAAGUACGAAAGACUCCGUGCUUCCAGAAGCAUAGUAGCCUCACACUAUAUAUAUGUAUAGUCCGACUGUUAUACUCUUAUGAGUACGAUUGUUCUCGUACUCAAAAGUUGUUUUUGAUUAUAGAGCUUCCGAAUUGACGAUUCAUAUCGUUAAAUGUUAUCUACAGCAUUUAAAGCGUAUAGAAAUCAAAUUUUAUAAUUUUUUGACAUCAUUCACCUUACGAUCAAAAUGUCACAAAAUUGAUAAUUUUUAAUGACCAGUAUAAGAUAUUUACUAGUUUCGGUGUAAAAGAAUCAAAAUCAGUUGAAUUUUUGAUAGAAAAUUCUAUUCACUACAUAGAUAAUGAUCAAUAACUCCAAUCUUAAAUUAAAGGAUUCAAUCAUCCAUUUUUAAGACGUCGUUCGAUUUUGAUCGUUCAUUUUAUUCCAACUUGAUGAACUUAAAUAUGAUUUUAAAAAAUUACGAAAUUUAUUUUCUAUAAAUUUCGAAUAUUUUAGAUUAUAUCUAACGGAGUGAAUCGUCGAUUCAGAAGUUCCAUCAUUGAAAAUAACUUAUAAGUAUGAAGGGUUCUAUAUAUAUAUAUAUAUAUUAAGUGGAUCGUCGAUUUAUAAGUACGAAGUAGAUCGUCGAUUCAUUGAAAAUCUGUCGCUAUCAAUAGUAUUCCAGCCUAACUCUCUCUAUAUAUAUAUUAUUAAAGUAUUAAGAAGCUUAUACGA